UACGUAGGGUGCGAGCGUUAAUCGGAAUACUGGGCGUAAGGCGUGCGCAGGCGGUGAUGUAAGACAGAUGUGAAAUCCCUGGGCUCAACCUGGGAACUGCAUUUGUGACUGCAUCGCUGGAGUGCGGCAGAGGGGGAUGGAAUUCCGCGUGUAGCAGUGAAAUGCGUAGAUAUGCGGAGGAACACCGAUGGCGAAGGCAAUCCCCUGGGCCUGCACUGACGCUCAUGCACGAAAGCGUGGGGAGCAAACAGG
rnacentral:rRNA from 1 species